GAGUAGUAUAAGAUAUAAUCUCGAAACUCAAAAAAUUUGGCGGUAUUUUAUCUUAUUAGAGGAACCUGUUUAUUAAUUGAUACUCCACAACUUUAAUUUACUUUUUUUAUAUUACUUGUAUACCGUUGUCAUGAAUCUACUAAAAAGUUAUUUUCAGGAGUUUUUAUAAAGUUUAUGUUAGAUCAAGGUGCAGUUUUUAAAAGAAAAAAAUGGGUUACAUUAUUUAUUAUGAAUGAAAAUUAUUACUAAAUUAAUAAUGAAAAUAGGAUUUAAUAGUAAAGGGAAUUAAAAGUGUUUUGAUGAAUUAAGAUUCUAAAAUAUG
rnacentral:rRNA from 1 species